CCCAGCGGCGCCACCACCCACACACUCCCACCCAACCCGGCCCGGCGCCACACCGCGACGCGACGCGACGCAGCCACCACGCAGGCGGACGCGGCCGCGCUACGGACAAAAGCCAACCUCUCCCCUCCUCCGGUCCAGCGAGCGAGAGACCGCCACCGGCACCCAACGGAACCAGGCCUCCGUGCGUUCCAUAUGGUCUCCACGAACCCGCCGCCGCCGCCGGCGCUGUCCGAGGCGGCCGCCGCCGUGUCGGGCGACGACGCCAGCAAGAAGGUGCGGAAGCCCUACACCAUCACCAAGUCGCGCGAGAGCUGGACGGAGCAGGAGCACGACAAGUUCCUCGAGGCCCUGCAGCUCUUUGAUCGUGACUGGAAAAAGAUAGAAGCUUUUGUUGGUUCGAAGACUGUCAUCCAGAUAAGGAGCCAUGCACAGAAGUAUUUUUUGAAGGUUCAGAAAAAUGGAACCAGCGAACAUGUCCCACCUCCACGACCAAAGCGUAAAGCUGCCCACCCAUACCCUCAGAAGGCCUCCAAAAAUGAGCCAGGAUAUGCCCUGAAGACAGAUCCAUCUGCCAUGCUUAGAAACUCAGGAAUGAACGUGGCUGUUUCUCCAUGGACCCACAAUUCUAUCCCACCAGUUGUCGCCUCAUCUUUCAUGAAAGAAGAUUUAGGUGCUGGGUCUAUGGGUCCAAACAUUUUUUGCUCAAGCAGUAGUGAAGGCCCUCCAAGGGCAUGGCAAUCUGGUGAAACCAAUGACCAGAUAAAUCAAGUUCCAUCACUCCGCAUUAUGCCAGAUUUUGCACAAGUAUACAGCUUCUUAGGCAGUGUUUUCGAUCCAAGCACAAAGGGCCAUUUGCAGAAACUGAAGGAGAUGAAUCCAAUUGAUGUUGAAACGGCACUGUUGUUGAUGAGAAAUCUCUCCAUCAACUUGACCAGUCCUGAUUUUGAAGAUCAAGCGGUCAGUUUCAGAUGUUUAACUCCUUAUUUGGUCAGUAGCAGAAGUUAUUUCUUUCAUAUAAAGAAACUGCGCAGGAUUUCAACAGCAUGCUCGUGUCUUCUUGAACUUGGGUGUCUCUUCACACACUGUGCUUCUAUCAGGGUUUGCCCAAUUGCCAUGGUUUCUGCCUUGGUACUGUCAAUACAAAUUGUUGCCACUGUGCAGAAUGACUGGAAUAUUUGGGCAGCUAUCAUGUGUGUAAAGUCAUCAUGUUUUGCAAACUUUCAAAAUUAUCAGAAAUUUGAGGAAGUUGCUGUCUUCGUACAAUUCCACCUCUGAUGAGCUAGAGCUAGGGAGCUCCAGAAGCUCACUUCUUACGGAUAGUGCAUUGAGCCUUUUUUGAUAGUUCAUGAUUAAAGGCAGAUGGUGCCGCCUAUAGUUCCAUCUCGAUCUCUGAAUAGGGUUUUUUUCCUGGAGCACCCAUGAAGGCGCUUGCACCAUUGUAUUUCUAGCUAGCUUCGAACCGUAGAAUGUGUAAGGGGGCAACCAUGUACAGUAGGCUUCCAUAAGGUGAGAUCUGUCUAUACCCUGAUGUGUAUAUAUUUUUGCCUCGAAGCGUGUAUCUUUCCUCCCCCGGUACCUUGGCACAGAUGUUGCUUCCGUCAAAGCUUGAAAGUGCUGUUCUUAGUGAUAGUAAAUGGAAAGGAAAUUUUGAGUAAUGUUGGUUACUCCCUUUUCCCUCCAUUGAGUUCAGUCGGUGAUGUCAUUUUCGUUUGUGUCUGGCAAGAUACUCUCCCGUGUGACUAUGACAUAAGCAUAAUACUCCAUGUGUUGUCUGUUGAGAA